CCUACGGGAGGCUGCAGUGGGGGAUAUUGCACAAUGGGGGAAACCCUGAUGCAGCGACGCCGCGUGGGUGAAGAAGCGCCUCGGCGCGUAAAGCCCUGUCAGCAGGGAAGAAAAUGACGGUACCUGAAGAAGAAGCCCCGGCUAACUACGUGCCAGCAGCCGCGGUAAUACGUAGGGGGCAAGCGUUCUCCGGAUUUACUGGGUGGAAAGGGGGCGCAGACGGCGAUGCAAGCCAGGAGUGAAAGCCCGGGGCCCAACCCCGGGACCGCCCUUGGAACUGCGUGGGUAGAGUGCAGGAGGGGCAGGCGGGAGUCCCGGUGUAGCGGGGAAAUGCGUAGAUAUCAGGAGGAACCCCGGGGGCGAAGGCGGCCUGCUGGACUGCAACUGACGUUGAGGCCCGAAAGCGUGGGGAGCAAACAGGAUUAGAUACCCUAGUAGUC
rnacentral:rRNA from 1 species